rnacentral:rRNA from 1 species
UACGUAAGGUGCAAGCGUUGUCCGGAAUUAUUGGGCGUAAAGGGCUCGUAGGCGGUUUGUCGCGUCGGGAGUGAAAACCCAGGGCUUAACUCUGGGCUUGCUUUCGAUACGGGCAGACUAGAGGUAUGCAGGGGAGAACGGAAUUCCUGGUGUAGCGGUGAAAUGCGCAGAUAUCAGGAGGAACACCGGUGGCGAAGGCGGUUCUCUGGGCAUUACCUGACGCUGAGGAGCGAAAGUGUGGGGAGCGAACAGG